AAUAGAUACCCUGGUAGUCCACGCCGUAAACGAUGAGUGCUAAGUGUUAGAGGGUUUCCGCCCUUUAGUGCUGCAGCUAACGCAUUAAGCACUCCGCCUGGGGAGUACGGUCGCAAGACUGAAACUCAAAGGAAUUGACGGGGGCCCGCACAAGCGGUGGAGCAUGUGGUUUAAUUCGAAGCAACGCGAAGAACCUUACCAGGUCUUGACAUCCUCUGACAACUCUAGAGAUAGAGCGUUCCCCUUCGGGGGACAGAGUGACAGGUGGUGCAUGGUUGUCGUCAGCUCGUGUCGUGAGAUGUUGGGUUAAGUCCCGCAACGAGCGCAACCCUUGAUCUUAGUUGCCAGCAUUUAGUUGGGCACUCUAAGGUGACUGCCGGUGACAAACCGGAGGAAGGUGGGGAUGACAUCAAAUCAUCAUGCCCCUUAUGACCUGGGCUACACACGUGCUACAAUGGAUGGUACAAAGGGCUGCAAGACCGCGAGGUCAAGCCAAUCCCAUAAACCAUUCUCAGUUCGGAUUGGUA
rnacentral:rRNA from 1 species